UGAAGGGUAUAUUAGAGAGUCUAAAUUGCUUUAAUUCCUUAUGGACAAAAGACAAGAAAUAUUAACUAGGAAAGCAGCUAAUGAGAUAAGGAAGGCUACAGUUUUAUGGAUGGUGAGACUUGAAAUCAGGGUGACAUAACUUUCUUGAGGUCACAUCAGAGCCUGCGGCAAAGCAGGGAUUAGAAUGCAAGAUCUGGCCACUUUUCACAGUUUAUUUGUAUGUUUGUGUUAAGUCAGGAAAACAUGGGUGUGAGGGAGAGAGAAAGGAGGCUGUUUUAUUCUUGAGCCUGUGCGAUUAUUUCACAAGCAGUCUAUAGCUGUAUCUGCAAGUUUUCAGACACGUAGGGCUCAGCUCUCCCUUUCAGUAAGCAGAAUUCUGGUCCAAGCCCAAGGAUGUAUACGCUCCUAGACAUAUCCUAGUCUUGGACCGUUCAUUGAUACAUAAUACUAGAUCACAUACGCAGUCUGAAGUGACAUAGGGACCUUACUGAUUGCUUGAGCCCAUGUGGCAUAAUCUGUCCCCUGCAAUGGGAAGAGCAAACAACAGGUAGCCAUAUUCUAACGCCAGCAGAAAACAGCCUGUAUCCCCGGUAAAUUUUUCGCAACUGAGAAGUGAGUUGCUUAGGUGUGCAAGCUGGACUGAGGGUUCUGGCCCUAGUAAUCAUUUGGGUGAUGUGUUUAUUAUUUUUCUAGCCAUUUAGGGAGCAAGUAUUAUUACCUGAGAAAUUCUGGAGUAUCUUGCCGUUUUCUUCUCUUAAUUCAGUCCUAUUCUUCUAAUACAUCUUCACUUCAUGCACGUUUUCCUGCACUUUAUCAUCUACUUCCUUUCCUGUAUCUCUUUCUGUCACUAUCUUUUUCCUCCAGCUCACCCCAGUUCAUUCUGUUCUCUCCUACCAGAUCACUUUUCUCACGAACAUACAAUAACCCUAAUAUGUUGGUAUGCACUGAAAAUAUAUAAUCAUAGCAUAAUGUAUAGAUGAAAGAAUAUGGUAUGGUAGAGAAACUGUGUAGAACCGUACAUUUAUUUUUGUUGCAUGUGUUUAUUAUAAUACUGUGAGCCCCAAGAAGAAAACUACUUUAACCCAGGCAUGUUGAAUGUUAAAUGUUUUCACCAGCAGUCUGGCUGACAUAAAGCAGCAAGUACAUAACCCCAAUUAAUGAAAUAGCACAAAAGCAGGCUUUCCAAAGCAAUGUUAGGCUUUAAGUAUAAGAGUUUUUAUGCCUUCUAUCUUUGUUCAUUCCACUUUAUCAUGGUCUUUUCUAGAUGAUCACCACAUGCACUCUAACUAGAAAAGUCUUCUGAGUAGAUGAAGAGAAUUGUUUUAUCUGCAUUUUCCAGGAAAAAAUCCUAUGUCUGAGUCCCUCUUAACUAAUGUAGAAUUGAAAAACUGAGAGGAAGCUGAUCAAGACAGUAGCAUCGGUUUGACUCAAUCAAUUUGCUUUAAUCAGUGCAGCAGGAAGUGUCUACAGGAAGGUGCAUCAACCCAAGUUUUCUACUUGCUGACUCACAGAAGUGCCAGUCUGUACAAGGCUUCCUGGUUGCAAAUUUUCAAAUGCAGUUUCAGUGAAAAUCACCUUCCAGGUAGAAGGGAAUUAAAUGAACUGCCAGUUCUGGAAGCGUUAAUUAAUUAAUAAAAGACUGGAAGAACUCCAAACACUUUUUGGCAAUGUGGCCUUGUCUUCCUCACUAAGAUGAAGUUGUGGAGGCAGUACUUGCAUACUUGUGCAUAUAUGGAUCUAUCUUAUCUCAAGGUGACUAUAGUUAUGUCUACAUUAGUGAGCAGCACAGGAAUUGAUUUCUGGACCCAAAACAAACAGUGCUAAAGACUCAGUGUCUUAUAUGCUUAUAUAGACCCAGUAUAUAUAUGUUGUUGUUUUUUUUAAGGUAGCUAAUUUGGACAGGCUCUAGUCAGGUCCCAUGGACUGACUGCCCUUUAGCAGCUGGAGCACCCAAGGUAAGCUUAUUAAGCAUAUCUUCCAAUUUUGUUUUGUCCAAAAGAAAUCCAGCCCACGUGCUCUGAGGCCAUUCUGCAACAUGGACCCAAGUGCUGAUUGUGGGAGCUAUUGGGACACUCUUUGAAAAGCACCUUUCUGGUUUUAACAGGAAUGCUAAUGUAGGCACACUCUCUCAACUGCCAGUUACACUGAGGUAAAGUCAUAAUGCGCUAUUGAUGCUUUCAUUUUAUUACAAAGCACAUUCAUCACAGGAGCAUCGGGUGACAUUGCUGUUUAUGAUUAGUGUCAAGGACUUUGUUGUCAUCUAUUUUCCCAUCGUUCAGCCCAGAUAAAAUAUUCUGUAAAGAUGUAUUAAAGGCUUUUGCUUUGUA